rnacentral:rRNA from 1 species
AUUGAACGCUGGCGGCAGGCCUAACACAUGCCAGUCGAGCGGUUGAAGGGAGCUUGCUCCUGGAUUCAGCGGCGGACGGGUGAGUAAUGCCUAGGAAUCUGCCUGGUAGUGGGGGAUAACGUCCGGAAACGGGCGCUAAUACCGCAUACGUCCUGAGGGAGAAAGUGGGGGAUCUUCGGACCUCACGCUAUCAGAUGAGCCUAGGUCGGAUUAGCUAGUUGGUGGGGUAAAGGCCUACCAAGGCGACGAUCCGUAACUGGUCUGAGAGGAUGAUCAGUCACACUGGAACUGAGACACGGUCCAGACUCCUACGGGAGGCAGCAGUGGGGAAUAUUGGACAAUGGGCGAAAGCCUGAUCCAGCCAUGCCGCGUGUGUGAAGAAGGUCUUCGGAUUGUAAAGCACUUUAAGUUGGGAGGAAGGGCAGUAAGUUAAUACCUUGCUGUUUUGACGUUACCAACAGAAUAAGCACCGGCUAACUUCGUG